AUUUCAUGAUGUGGACAUUGGCUCAACAGUUCUUUAAAUAUCUCUCAAACAUCAAACAAAGAUUCAUCGUCCCCUUAUCUAAAUGAGGUGGUCUAAUUUCUCAUAUU